rnacentral:rRNA from 1 species
GGGGAGCCAGCUCGCCAGCUGGGUAUUGACGCUGAGGCACGAAAGCGUGGGGAUCGAACAGGAUUAGAUACCCUGGUAGUCCACGCCGUAAACGAUGAUGGCUCGCUCUUGGCUGGAAACGGUCAGGGGCUUAGCGAAAGCGUUAAGCCAUCCACCUGGGGAGUACGCCGGCAACGGUGAAACUCAAAGGAAUUGACGGGGGCCCGCACAAGCGGAGGAACAUGUGGUUUAAUUCGAUGAUACGCGAGGAACCUUACCCAGGCUCGAACGCCGAACGAAUGUGGGGGAAACUUCACAGCCAGCAAUGGCGGUCGGCGAGGUGCUGCAUGGUUGUCGUCAGCUCGUGCCGUGAGGUGUCGGCUUAAGUGCCAUAACGAGCGCAACCCCUAUCGGUAGUUGCCAGCGGGUCAAGCCGGGGACUCUACCGAGACUGCCAGCGCAAGCUGCGAGGAAGGCGGGGAUGACGUCAAAUCAGCACGGCCCUUACGUCUGGGGCGACACACGUGUUACAAUGGCCGGUACAGAGGGCAGCCACCCCGCGAGGGGGAGCGAAUCUCGAAAGCCGGUCGUAGUUCGGAUCGGAGGCUGCAACCCGCCUCCGUGAAGCUGGAUUCGCUAGUAAUCGCAUAUCAGCCAUGAUGCGGUGAAUACGUUCCCGGGCCUUGUACACACCGCCCGUCAAACCAUGGGA